rnacentral:rRNA from 1 species
UACGAAGGGGGCUAGCGUUGCUCGGAAUCACUGGGCGUAAAGCGCACGUAGGCGGCUUCUUAAGUCAGGGGUGAAAUCCCAGAGCUCAACUCUGGAACUGCCUUUGAUACUGGGUGUCUUGAGUAUGGAAGAGGUGAGUGGAAUUCCGAGUGUAGAGGUGAAAUUCGUAGAUAUUCGGAGGAACACCAGUGGCGAAGGCGGCUCACUGGUCCAUUACUGACGCUGAGGUGCGAAAGCGUGGGGAGCAAACAGG